rnacentral:rRNA from 1 species
AUUGAACGCUGGCGGCAUGCUUUACACAUGCAAGUCGAACGGUAACAGGCCUUCGGGUGCUGACGAGUGGCGCACGGGUGAGUAAUGUAUCGGAACGUACCCAGAGGUGGGGGAUAACGCAGCGAAAGCUGUGCUAAUACCGCAUGUGAUCUGAGGAUGAAAGCGGGGGACCGAGCAGCAAUGUUUGGCCUCGCGCCUUUGGAGCGGCCGAUGUCGGAUUAGCUAGUUGGUGGGGUAAAGGCCUACCAAGGCGACGAUCCGUAGCUGGUCUGAGAGGACGACCAGCCACACUGGGACUGAGACACGGCCCAGACUCCUACGGGAGGCAGCAGUGGGGAAUUUUGGACAAUGGGCGCAAGCCUGAUCCAGCAAUGCCGCGUGCGGGAAGAAGGCCUUCGGGUUGUAAACCGCUUUUGGCAGGAACGAAACGGUGUCCGCUAAUACCGGGCGCUAAUGACGGUACCUGCAGAAUAAGCACCGGCUAACUACGUG